rnacentral:lncRNA from 1 species
GCUACUUUCCAUUCAAUUUGAAAUUGUAAAAUACAUCAGGUUUCCUUCGAAGAUUUCACAACCAUCAACACUAAUACACCUAUCAUUACAGCCAUUGAGCUGAAAUAGAACACCAUAAACAUUCCUACACCAUUAAUGUACUUCCUACAAAACCACCAACCUACCAACUACAUACUCAAAAAGUCACAACAACAUUUAAUUCGCUUUUCCAACAAUUUCCUAUCUAAGAUAAGAUCUGAUUUCUUGAUGAGCGAUGAGGAGCUUUAACUGGGCUUCUUCUACAGACUGCAAGAAGUCCAAGCAUUUAUCUUCUCCUUGCAUGUGAUAAAAUAAAUCAUUAGGUAUUAAAUUGUGCAAUUCUUUUCCUUCACUGAAAUUCCACAGAUAGAAAAGUAGAUAUCAACACAAGACAAGUUGCUAUACAACAAGAACAAAAAAAUUGACAUCACUAUUGAAUUCAGGAGCAGAACAAAAACCCUAUAAUGUAAAUUUACUAAAUCUUUCUAAGCAUCUUCCUGCUAAAAACAUUAUUAUUUCUAAAGCAUGGUUCCCAUUUAAGUAGUUGUCACUACCUCCAUAUAACAAAAGGAAAAAACAACACACAAUUAAAUAAAUGGCGUAGAAGAAAAUCCCAGUCAAAACAGUUAGGAGAAAAUCUCAGUCAAAACAAUUAAACAAAUAAUGCAGAAGAAAAUCCUCAAGUGUAGAUGGUGGAUGCACAGGUGAUUUCGGUUCUUUUUUUGCUUGGAAGAAAUCGAUUAAAAUAGUUAGGAGAAGAAAUGUGUUCACAAUUUAAGAGAUUGUUCCUUUUUUUGAUUUUGAUUUAGAGAUUGAAUCUUGAUUUUGAGAGAAAUCAAUUUGUGUGGGAGAGAAGAAAUUGGUUCACAAUUAGGGCUUGUAAAGAAUUGGGGAUGAAUGUGGGAAGAAACUUGAUUUUCAAUUUAAUGAAGGAAAAUACGUGAGAGCAAAUUCCAGGUGGCAAAACUGAACGGGGUUAAUUGACAUGUAAGAUUUUCAUCCGUCACGUGUCAUUUUUUGUCCAAGUAGGCAGAUGGAAGCAAUCGGGCGAUGGAUGAGUACCUCUUUGUAAAAGUUAGUGAGCAGUCGGUAAUAUUUUAUUUUAUGGUGAACAAGUAGUAACCAGUUAGUGAGCAGGGAUUUAAU